rnacentral:rRNA from 1 species
UACGUAGGGUGCGAGCGUUGUCCGGAAUUAUUGGGCGUAAAGAGCUCGUAGGCGGUUUGUCGCGUCUGCCGUGAAAAGUCCGGGGGCUCAAACUCCGGAUCUGCGGUGGGUACGGGGCAGACUAGAGUGAUGUAGGGGGAGACUGGAAUUCCUGGUGUAGCGGUGAAAAUUGCGCAGAUAUCAGGAGGAACACCGAUGCGAAGGCAGGUCUCUGGGCAUUAACUACGUGAGGAGCGAAAAGCAUGGGGGGAGCGAAACAGGAUUAGAAACCC